AUUGAACGCUGGCGGCAGGCCUAACACAUGCAAGUCGAGCGGAGCGGCGGACGGGUAAGUAAUGGCUAGGAAUCUGCAUGGUAGUGGGGGAUAACGUUCAGAAACGGGCGCUAAUACCGAAUACUAUCAGAUGAGCCUAGGUCGGAUUAGCUAGUGGGUGGGGUAAAGGCCUACAAAGGCGACGAUCCGUAACUGGUCUGAGAGGAUGAUCAGUCACACUGGAACUGAGACACGGUCCAGCCUCCUACGGGAGGCACCAUUGGGGAAUAUUGGACAAUGGCCGAAAGCCUGAUCCAGCCAGGCCGGUGGUUUGAAGAAGUUUUUCGGAUUGUAAAGCACUUUAAGUUGGGAGGCGUUACUAACAGAAUAAGCACCGGCUAACUUCGUGCCAGAGCCGCGGUAAUUC
rnacentral:rRNA from 1 species